GGACUACAAGGGUUUCUAAUCCUGUUUGCUCCCCGCGCUUUCGUGCCUCAGCGUCAGUUACAGUUUAGCGAGCUGCCUUCGCAAUUGGUGUUCUGUGUCAUAUCUAAGCAUUUCACCGCUACAUGACACAUUCCGCCCACUUCAAAUGUACUCAAGGCCGUCAGUAUCAAUGGCAAUUUCCAUGUUAGGCAUGGAGCUUUCACCACUGACUUAACAACCCGCCUACGCACCCUUUAAACCCAAUAAAUCCGGAUAACGCUUGGGACCUUCGUAUUACCGCGGCUGCUGGCAC
rnacentral:rRNA from 2 species